UACGUAGGGUGCGAGCGUUGUUCGGAAUUACUGGGCGUAAAGGGCGCGCAGGCGGCUCUGAAAGUCAGAUGUGAAAGCCCCGGGCUUAACCUGGGAAUUGCAUUUGAUACUCUGGAGCUUGAGUACGGGAGAGGAGAGUGGAAUUCCCAGUGUAGAGGUGAAAUUCGUAGAUAUUGGGAAGAACACCGGUGGCGAAGGCGGUUCUCUGGGCCUUACCUGACGCUGAGGAGCGAAAGCGUGGGGAGCGAACAGG
rnacentral:rRNA from 1 species